rnacentral:lncRNA from 10 species
AGAGUCAUUGUGGGGGAGGGGUUGGGCCAGCCAGGGCAGGCAGGGACAGCCCCUCUGAUGAGGAGGCCACUGGGCUGAGACCAAUGAAUGAGAUGGAGCCAGCCACGUGGUGAGCCAGAAGAGGGCAUCACAGUGUUCAGGUCCAUGAAAUGGGCUCCCGAAGUCCAACCUCACAGACCCCAUAGGAAAGCAGAUGGAAUCUCCAAGGGCACCAGCUAUACAUGGUGGUGGAAGGACCAACGCAUGCUCUGAAUGCCACUGCGGACCACAGGGCUUGAGUCUGGGGGAGCCUGGCUGCCCAGAGGUGGCAGAUGACAUGAAGAAAUAACCAUGUAAGGGCUGGCUGUGUAUGAGAGCAAGCAUUGGGAAGGAUGAAUGCCAACUAUGUUCCAGGAACUUCCACUGUUCUCACACACCCAGGUGAGUGGUGUUCAGGUGGGUGGCACCCAGGUGAGUGACAUCCCAGUUGAGUGGCACCCAGGUGAGUAGCAUCCAGGUGAGUGACACCUAGGUGAGUGACAUUCAGGUUAGUGGCGUCUGUGUGAGUGGCAUCAUCCAGGUGAGUAGCUUCCAGGUGAGUGGCACCCAGGUGAGUGGCAUUCGGGUGAGUGGCAUUAUCCAGGUGACACCUGGGUGAGUGGCAUCCAGGUGAGUGAUAUCAUCCAGGUAAGUGGCACCUAGGUGACAUCCAGGUGAGUGACGACAUCCAGGUGAGUGACAUCAUCCAGGUAAAUGGCACCCAGGUGAGUAGCAUUCAGGUGAGUGAC